GUUCUCAAAGGACUGCAGAAUUGUGUUCAUUAUACUUGAAACAAAGAUAUGCUCAAUAUUAACUCCACUGUGUUCAGAAGCUGAAAACAGAGCUCAGCUGUAGACAGUGGCUUGAUUAAUACCAGAUCUUUCCACAUUAUUAUUUACAAGGAGAGUUUUAGUUGCUUUUUCUGCAAAUAGUAUAACCUGAUUUAUUGUUAACUAUGCCUGGCCAUUUUUCUUAGAACCUAAUUCAUUAAGCCAGUAUUACUGAGGCAUUCUGAAAAAACCUUUAAACCCGAGGCAGUUAAUAUCAGAGUGAGUUUUGUUGGCUUUUUUUUUUUUUUUUUUUUGAAGUUUAUUUCUCUUAAACAAAUCAACAUUAAUGAGUGAGUACUGUGUGUUUCAUAGGUUUAGGGAUGUGGUAAAACAGGAUUAUUCAAGUUUGUCUUUUAAAAUUAUUGUGGUCCUGUAGUAAAACAACCUGUUAAUGUUAUUAUUUAAAUUAUUUCCAUCCAUUACCAUCAACGGAAAACAUGCUGUAAAAUCCUCUGGGAUCUUUUAUUACAAUUUCAGGUACAUUUAUAAGUGUCUUAAAACUUAAAGGAAGAGGAAAGAAGACAUACCUUUAUGAUUUUAUUCAAGUAUCAAUGUGAAUCUAUUUACAAUCAAAGAAAUUUACUUUUAAAAAGACCAAGCACAUGGAGUUUUGAAAGACAUAUGUCUAUGCCUUCCCUGUGGCAACUUCAUUGAUUCAUUCAACAGAAUAUUUAUCGAGCACCUAUUAUACCCAGUUGUGCGAUAGAGCCAUGAACAAACCAAGGUCCCUGCUCUCACGGAGGUCUCUUCUGAAGCAAAACCAGUAAACAAGCACACACAGGUCACGUCACAUGUGACCUAUGGAGAACAGUAAGGCAGGGCAUGGGAAAAGGGACUUUGUGUAUUGGAAUGAGGCCCUUUUCCACAGCAUGCUCAGAGUUGGACUCUAUUCAGGGACACUGGAGCAGAGACCGGAAGGCAGUGAGGCUGUGAGCCACAGCAGGCAUCGUGGGGAAGCGACCCAGGCAGGGGAGCAGGCAGACAUGAAGGACUGGGUGGGGGCGAGUUGGCGUAACUGGGAACAGCAAGAGGCCGGCGUGGCUGGAGUGGGAUGAAUGAGGAGGGGAGAUGGUUGGACAUGAGGCCAGAGAGACCGCUGUAAACUGAACGUGGUGUUGCCCCACAGAAUUCAUAUAUUGAAACCUAGUCCCCAACAUGAUGGCUGGAGGUAAAGCCUUUGGAAGGUGAUCAGGUCAUGAGGGUGGAGUCAUUAGGAAUGACAUUAGUGCUCUUAGAAAGGGGACCCAGAGAGCUUCCUCGCCCCCUCCACUGUGUGAAAACACAAUAAUGUGCCAUCUAUGAACAAGAGGGCCCUCCUCAGACACUCAAGUUGCUGGUGCCUUGGUCUUGGACUUCCCAGUCUCCAGAACUGUAAGAAAUACAUACAUUUCUGUCGUUUAUAAGCCACCCAGACUGUGGUGUUUUUUUAUAUCAGCCUGAGCAGACUAAGACCAACAGUCUCAAGUUCAGGGUCAAGGUCCAGGCUAGGGAUACAAUUUUGCAAAUCAAUAAUAUACUGAUAGCAUUGGAAGUUACGGGCCUGGGAGGGAUGGCAUAGGGAGUCAGUGCAGGCAGAGCAAAGGUCUGAUGAAUGAUCAUUCCACGAUUUAUUUAGAGCAGAUGAGAGGAAACCAGCACAAGGUAUUGAGAAGGAAUAGGUAGUGAGCUCAAAGGAGAAAUCAAAAAGUGAUGUUCAGAAAACAAGGCAAAGAAAGUCAUCCAGGAAGGAGGGAAUGAUCUACGGGCAAAUGCUGCAGAUAGAUCAAGUAAAAUGAGGACUGAGAACUGACCAUUUUAUACCACUUAUGGCAUAGAAGGUAAAUUCUUCAACCUCUCUGUUUCUCAGUUUCCUCACCCAUAACAUGGGGAAAAUAACGGUACCCGCCUUAGGGCUUAAGCAAGUGAAUACACGUAAAACACUUAGAACAGUAACUGGCACAUAGUAGGUGCCAGUCAACAAAUAUUUGUAGAAUGAAUGAACGUGUUAUAAUGAUCAGAUUACAAUUAUUAUCUAUUACAAAUGUUAUUUAGUCUUGAUUAUCAUCAGUGACCUUCAUAAGAGCUUUUGAUUGAGUGGUGGCAGCUAAAAGAUAAAUGGAGUGGGUUCAAGAGAGGAUAGAGAUGAGAAACUGGAAACAGAGAGUAUAAACACGCAUUUUAAAAAUAAAUUUGCUGCAAAGAUAAUCAAAGAAAUGGAACAGGCCAAGUGCAGUGGCUCACGCCUGCUAUCCGUUUAGGGGGAGACAGGAGGAUUGCUUGAGCCCGGGAGUUCAAGACCAGCCUGGAAAAUGUAGCAAGACCCCAUCUCUCAAAAAAAAUUUAAAAAUUAGCCGGGUAUGGUAGCAUGCACCUGUAAUACCAGCUACUUUGGAGGCUGAUGAAGGAGGAUGACUUGAGCCCAGGAGUUCAAGGCUACAGGGCUACAGUGAGCUGUGGUUACGCCACUACGCUCCAGCCUGGGUGACAGGUAAGACCCUGUCUCUAAAAAAAAAGAAAGAAAGAAAGAAAGAAAAGAAAGGGGACAGUAGUUAAUGAGAUGUGUGAGGUUAAGAGAAAUUUAUUUUUUAAGUUGGGAGUUAUAAUAGCAUUUUUGUAUGCUAAAAGGAGUGAUUCAAUCAAGAGAGAAGAAAUGAUGAUACAGAAAGAGGAGAACGCUCUGCCAGAGGGUGCUCGAGCCCACUAGAAGUUAAUGGUCAUAAACUGGAAACAGUCACCACGGCUGUGUUCUGUUCCACCCAGGCUCAGCUGGGCACAGACAGGUACAGAGGACAUGGGCAACUGGAUUUUACCAAGGCUGUAGUUUUGCAAGGAGAGUGGGAUGAAGAGAGAGAUGGGUAAAGAAGUUAAUGUUAUAAGAUAGUAAAGCAAGGUAAUGAUUAGAUAAUCAAGGACUCCAAACUAGACAAUGAGAGACAUGAAGACAUGAGGUAGGUGAGAAAGGGGGAAAAGAUGAUAGGAUGGAUGGAUUUUGCACUUCAGUGAGGUGGAAGAAUUGUUUUCAGUCAAGGUUUUAGGAGAGAAGAAAGAGGUGGUGAUCAGAGAAUGGGAUGCUUGAAAUGAGAUGAUGGAGCUGGAGCAUAACAGAUAAUGACUGCAUUAUCAGUCUUUACAACCGGUAAUAAGCUCUAGGGUAUAGUUACGGAAAUGGGGGGCUGAGGUUGAGUGAAGAACAAGGUCAUCGGAGAAGAGGAGAUUAAGGACCUGAGAAGCCAGAGUACCGAAGGAUUGUCUACAAGAACACUGAAAUCACAGGUGUUACUGUCUGACAAGUAGGGUUGGUGUACUGAUAGCACUCCAGGAGCGUCAAUCCACAAGGAACAAGGUGGCAUGGAUCAGAGAUGAAUAGAUGACUGCAACAAUGAUCUGGUGGCCAGAGAUGCAAAGCCAGGGGUCUCCAGGAGGAGGGAAGGAUGAUCAUGGAGCAGUGAUGAGGCGCUAGCACCAAACGUGGUGGUUCAGGGUGUGGGGACAAAGCAGAUGUGGCUUGAGAGGACUUCGGGGAGCAGUUAGGAAGAUAAGGUAAAGGGACUGUAUUAGUCUGUUCUUGCAUUGCUAUAAAAAAAUACCUGAGGGCCAGGUGCGGUGGCUCACGCCUGUUAUCCCAGCACUUUGGGAGGCCGAGGCAGGUGGAUCACGAGGUCAGGAGUUCAAGACCAGCCUGGCCAAGAUGGUGAAACCCUGACUCUACUAAAAAUACACACACACAAAAAAAAAUUAGCCAGGUGUGGUGGCAGGUGCCUGUAAUCCCGGCUACUCGGGAGGCUGAGGCAGGAGAAUCGCUUGAACCCAGGGGGCAGAAGUUGCAGUGAGCCGAGAUCAUGCCACUGCACUUCAGCCUGGGAAACAGGGUAAAACUCUGUCUCAAAAAAAAAAAAAAAGAAAGAAAGAAAGAAAAAGAAAUACCUGAGACUGGGGAAUUUACAAGAAGAGAGGUUUCACUGGCGCACGGUUCUACAGGCUGUCCAGGAAGCAUGGUGGCAUCUGCUUCUGGGGAGGCCUCAGGCAGCUUCCAAUCGCGGCAGAAGGCAAAGUGGGAGCAGGCAGUUUACACCGUGAAAGCAGGAGCAAGAAAGAGCAAGGAAGGAGGCGCCACACACUUGUAAACAACCAGAUCUCACGAGAACUCACUCACUAUCACGAGAACAGCAGCAAGGGGAACGGUGCUUAGCCAUUCGUGAGAAACCACCCCCGAGAUCCAGCCACCUCCCACCAGGCCCCACCUCCCACGCUGGGAUCACAACUGAACAUGAGAUGUGGGCAGGGACACAGAUCCACACCAUCACGAGGACCUCUCAGGAAAGGCGCUGAGGGUGUGGGGAAUUUUGCUGAUAACGUGCUGUGUGUUCCCGUGGAAAGGCGUGGUGAGUGGAAGGUUGCAGCUUCAUGAAUUAUAAGUCAACAUCUCACGCCCAAAUAUAUCUAUUUUACUUGCAAUUUUUCUGGCCUGUCAAAACCGUCAAGCACUGACAAGAAUAAUACACUGGGUUUUGCGGCUGGCACGAAUGAAGUCGUUAUCAAUUAUGAGAAGAAAAAUUGCGUUUAAAUGUCAAUUACAAAGAUGACUCCUACCUAUAACCUACUGCCAAAAAUGUAAAAGCUAAAGUUUAAGAAUUUAGCAUGAACUUUAUGAAAAUUCUAUAUUCAUUUUCAUAGCAGCCUUCGUUAUGCUGAUUUGAACACAGACCUGAGUGUAUACAGGAUAAUAAUUACCCUGGCAGAGCAGAGGCAGAAUGGAGAUAUUCCUCAUAAAGACAUAAAUUGUGGUAGGAAAAAAAAAAAAGAUUGCAUGGAACUUUUUAAUGUUUUAAAUGGUUUUUAUGUAUUAAAGGCAUGAGGUGGCCCUGAUCUGAAAUCUCACAUGAUCCUCCUGUAAAUGCAUUAACUAUCUUCUUCCAACACAUCACACCCAAAUAACUAAUACACUCCACAGACCAAAGGAAGUCAUUUAUCAAAUUCAACCAUAAACAAACUUAUAGUGAAGACAGACACCUGAAAUAUAUAUUUAUGGCUCUCCCUUUCCAAAAUAAACACUAAUCUAAAUUCUUUUUUUUUUUUUUUGAGAUGGAGUCUCGCUCUGUUGCCCAGGCUGGAGUGCAGUGGUGUGAUCUCGGCUCACUGCAAGCUCCGCCUCCCAGCUUAAAGCAAUUCUCCUGCCUCAGCCUCCCAAGUAGCUG
rnacentral:lncRNA from 1 species